GUAUUUCAGAGAGUUAGUCACUUGAUGACAUGAAUAUUCACCACAUUCCAUUUCCACCAUGCAUUGUGAUGCUACUCCAGUGGCGUUUCCCUCCUUUGUUUCAGAGAUCACACGAUGAAUGGAAUGACAUCACAAUGCCAGCUCCUCAGUCAGGUUGGGCUACACAGUGACAUUACUGGUGGCAAUUGAGGGGAAACUGUGAAUGAGAGCAAGGGAGGGCAAUGUAAAUUAACGGUUCAUUGUUUUUCAAAGGGGGCGGACCUCAAAAAAUGUGAGUCAUUUUGACUCAACCUUAGUCUGAAAUUGGCUCUGAACAAUGUUUAGGAAUAAAUAAGGAGAAACUGCCUUGGCCUUUCCACACAUCUGCCACAUUACAUUGCCUGCUUUUUUCUCUUUCUGGUCCUAUAAAACAUUAUUGCUAACAGAUGAAAAAUGUUUUUAAUUUAUGGCAUAGUUUGUGCCACAGUCUCUAUCCAGGAAAGCUAUUUUUGUCUGUUAUUAUAAUCCACUGUCCGCCACAGUUAUCGGUAGGGAGAUCAGGUUCAGGGUUUGUUUGUCCUCAUUAUGAAAAGCGGGUCUGCAAAAGCGAGGAAAUAAAAUAUCUUAACUGGCAUGUCUCUGUAUCAAGCAAUCUUGUAAUUCACAAAGCUCAUUCACAAUCUGAGAUGAUUAUUUAAUUUCCCCCCCUUCUGUCAACUUCAGUGGACGCUCAUCCCCCCCUUAUCUGCAGAAGUCAGAGUGAAUCAUAGAUGCAACAAAGCAAUUUGCUGUUAGAGCUGCUACUAGAAGCUGCAUUUUCCCCUUCAGCUGUGAAAAGACAUACGAAUGUGCUUUGGAAGCAUUUGGAACAAUGAAAAUGGGUUCCAUUAUAAAUGGAAGAAGAGAAAACCCAGUGCAUUCAUGUUUGGGGUGAGAGGGCCCCUACCAACUUACGUUUCUGAUGGUGCAAUCCUAUGCUUGUUACUCAGACAUGCAAUCAAAGAGUAAGUGUACAUACGGCCACUGCCUGCAGGUUAUGGUCCUUGCCAUACAGGCUUGAAGCCUGAAUCUGUCAAAUCUAUUCAGACUCUGAGGCUGAAGCGGGGUGGGUGGGUAUCAAAAGACUGCUGAAGUAUCCUGGGUGUCUCCUUCUCCUGAUGUGCCGUGCUUCCCCCCCCGUCUCCAAUAAUGUGCAGGAUGAGGAGAGCAGAACAGAGGUGGACAGACGCAGUUUGAGAAACAUCUGGCAGAGGAGGAGCCUUAGAAGGGGUGGAAGGCAGGGACCUUCAGCCCUGGAAACUGCUCCGCAGGGGCAAGACCUGCUGGGAAGUGUUGCCGAGUUGUAUGCUGUCUCCUUGAAUCAAGUGUUAACUUCACUGACAACUGACGUUGCUUCUUCAAGAUGGCCUGCAUCUGACUCCAGCCCUGACAUGUGGCUUAGCAUUAUGGGCAAACCUUCCCAUAAGCUUAACUCCAGCCUUUUUACUGCUGAAAAACCAGGAUCUGAAAUC